rnacentral:misc_RNA from 1 species
AAGGAUCAUUACCGAGUGCGGGAACCCCCAUCGGGUCCCAAUCUCCCACCCGUGUCUACCACACCUGGUGUUGCUUUGGCGGGCCCACUCCUCCGGUCUCCGCCGGGGGGGUCGUCCCGGGGCGCGGUUUUGCCGGGGCGCGUGCCCGCCAGAGGCACUCACUGUGAAUGCUUGUUGUGAAUGCGAGGAUUGUCUGAGUGAUGAAAUGCAAUCGUUCAAAACUUUCAACAAUGGAUCUCUUGGUUCCG